rnacentral:rRNA from 1 species
UACGGAGGGUGCGAGCGUUGUCCGGAAUCAUUGGGCGUAAAGGGUCCGCAGGUGGCCCGGUCAGUCCGCUGUCAAAGCCUGGGGCUCAACCCUGGAGAGGCGGCGGAGACCACCGGGCUUGAGUCCGGUAGGGGCAGAGGGAAUUCCCGGUGGAGCGGUGAAAUGCGUAGAGAUCGGGAAGAACGCCAAGGGCGAAGGCACUCUGCUAGGCCUGAUUUCGCGACUGACACUCAGGGACGAGAGCCAGGGGAGCGAAUGGG